CUCUUACUCUAAACUUAAGUAGUUUAUUUUUUUAUUUUUUUUUAUUAUUUUUUUUUUGUCGUCGCUCCUCUUUUGUAUCCUUCCGAUUUCCUCCAUGGGACUCGAGACCGGUGAGUGGAGCAGGUGUCACUCAUUUCCAAAUCACUCCACCGGCCUCGCUCUGUUCCCACGGCUCUCGGCCCCGCCCCACUCGUCACAUACCCCCAUCGCCCCUUGCAGGCCGGGGGGUACCCACGAGACUGUGCUCUACUCCACCUCCCCCACCCCCUCCUCCAGGGGGACCGCUCAUGGUGGCUGCGGGUACCUGGGGGUAAGGACAGACAGUCGAGGCGGGAGAAGAGGAGAUGGAAGGAUGAGGAGCAACAGAGACGAGAAAGGGGAGAGAGGAGAAAAAAAAAUUGUUCCGGUUCCCAGACACGCUGCCGCUCGGCCCUCCACCAGCUGUGUGAACUCUUCCGCGGUGCCUGCCGGCGGCACUGGAUGGCCCUCAGUGGACGGCACGACACUCCUCCGCCACCCGGUGGAUGGCGACGGCUCCUCCACUUUCGGGCAGCUGGCAGGAGUCCCCCGUUCCCUGCUCCUCCCCAUUCUGGCGGAUGGCAGCAGGCUCCGGUCCCCUAGCGAACGGCGCCGACUCCUCCGCUCCCUCACGGAAGGCAGCCGCCCCUCCACAUCGCGGGCGGCCGGCAGCGAGUUCGUCCGUCCCCAGCAACUCACUCCAGCCCACCGCCUCGAGCGUCCACGGCGCCAGACUGCUACGCCCUGCUCGAUCGCACCGCGGAUUCACCCCAGCGGCCAGGGAUCUUCGGCAGCGCGUUCCUCCUUCCUCCCGGGUUUCUGCACCAGUGUAACAACAUACAAACUUCAUAAUCACGGGAAGAAGGAGGCGGGAACCAGCGGACAUUCAAAUAAAACUUUAAUACCCAAAUAAACACAAAACAGCACGACAGCCCCUCACGGACAACUGCCCUGCACAAACAACACAAAAAAAAUCCAUGCCUGGUCCUAUCUCGUCCUUCACUGUCGUCGCUCCCAUA
ensembl:lncRNA